rnacentral:rRNA from 1 species
AGCAGCCGCGGUAAUUCCAGCUCCAAUAGCGUAUAUUAAAGUUGUUGCAGUUAAAAAGCUCGUAGUUGAAUUUCGGGAUUAGUACGUUGGUCGUGCCUUAGGUACGUACUGGUGUUACUGGUUCCUACCUUCUGACGAACCAUCAUGUCAUUAAUUUGGUGUGGCGGGGAAUCAGGACUGUUACCUUGAAAAAAUUAGAGUGUUUAAAGCAGGCUCGCGCUUGAAUACAUUAGCAUGGAAUAAUGAAAUAGGACGUUGACCCUAUUUUGUUGGUUUCUAGGAUUGACGUAAUGAUUAAUAGGGAUAGUUGGGGGCAUUAGUAUUCAAUUGUCAGAGGUGAAAUUCUUGGAUUUAUUGAAGACUAACUACUGCGAAAGCAUUUGCCAAGGAUGUUUUCAAUAAUCAAGAACGAAAGUUAGGGGAUCGAAGACGAUCAGAUACCGUCGUAGUCUUAACCAUAAACUAUGCCGACUAGGGAUCGGAUGAUGUUAAUUUUUUAAUGACUCA